AAGACCUUGCGCUUUUGGAGCGGCCGAUGCCUGAUUAGCUAGUUGGUGGGGUAAUGGCCUACCAAAGCUUCGAUCAGUAGCUGGUCUGAGAGGACGGCCAGCCACACUGGGACUGAGACACGGCCCAGACUCCUACGGGAGGCAGCAGUGGGGAAUUUUGGACAAUGGGCGCAAGCCUGAUCCAGCCAUGCCGCGUGAGUGAAGAAGGCCUUCGGGUUGUAAAGCUCUUUCAGCCGGGAAGAAAAGGUUGCGAUUAAUAAUCGCAAUUUAUGACGGUACCGGAAGAAGAAYCACCGGCUAACUACGUGCCAGCAGCCGCGGUAAUACGUAGGGUGCGAGCGUUAAUCGGAAUUACUGGGCGUAAAGGGUGCGCAGGCGGUUUUGUAAGUCAGAUGUGAAAUCCCCGGGCUUAACCUGGGAACU
rnacentral:rRNA from 1 species